rnacentral:rRNA from 1 species
CUUGUACACACCGCCCGUCACACCAUGGGAGCGGGUUCUGCCGAGAAGUAGUUAGCCUAACCGCAAGGAGGGCGAUUACCACGGCAGGGUUCGUGACUGGGGUG